UCCAAUUGAAUGAAAAGCUUUAUGGAAAUGCAUCCAAAGCUGUUAAUUUUUCCCAUUGCUUCUGCAGGAGGCGAAGUCCUUCUAAUGAUGUUGCUACAUACUUUACUAUCACUGCCUGAGUUUGCACAUCAUGCAGGUGGAUUCCAGAUGCAACCAUUCAGUCUAAACUGCUCUUAAAAAGCACAAGCAGGUGUGGCCAAUGCAUUCGACAUGACUGUCAUCUGCACCUGGGAACACAGGCGACCCGAAAGCAGCGUCUCUGUUGGGCAGCUCGUCCUGCUGCCAGCCGUUAGCACAGCACCCGGAGCUGAGCAGCGCUGGCUGACAGACAGACAGACAGACAGACAGCUGCUCACGGGCACAGCACAGACAACGCGUCCCUCCUGCACGUGGCUCACAGCAGUUCCCUUUCCUUCAAAUUAGUCAGGGGAUUUCUUAGAAAUCCCAAUCCAUAUCUGCAGAGAUCAAACCUCCUGCUUCUGCAGGACUUCCCUGCUGCUGUGACUCAUCAGCAAGAAAAGGUGGGCCCUGCAGAUGACAAAGGAUGUUUUCAUAGUCUUCAGUAGCAAAGGUACCAGCAGUGAGGGAAGGGCUCUUGGAGAGAAAAGUGAAAAGGUACUAAGUUUGCUGAAUAGAAAUGAACACAGAGGCCCCGACAAAGGGUAGCAUCUUAAAAAUGCAUUGGUGGGAAUUAUUUAAAUAAACUGAUAGCAAAUAUGUCAUGGGAGAACUGCUAUAAUGAAAAGGGAGGUCUUUAUUUUGAAAUAAGACUUCCUUGAGAUAGAGGCUUAAUCUCUUCUAACCCAGAACUGCCUUCACUCCUCCAUUGUUUCUUCUGAAACCCAAUUGUUGAAUAUUAAUUCCUCUGUAAUAGCAGACUAAGUAUGACCAGAUUUCAACAAUGAAAGACCUAAAGGAAUAAUUAACGAACAAUGGACUCUUCUAUUACAAGGAAACGAUUAUCCACACCAGGACUGAAUUAGCAGAAUUUUCUGACAAACCAGAGCUGUUUCCUCCAGCAGGGAGCACACAGGGAUGGAGGCCAUCAGCUUUCCCAGUUCUACAGUUACUGAAGCUGGCACUGCUGUGACGCGGUCGGUUCUAACCCACAGAGCUGGGGGGCAUCCACCACGAGAACAGGUGGACUACAGCAUGCUGCAGCAGCACCUCGUCUCAUCCCUUUUGACUGCAGGCAUAAAGGAAGACAUAACAGCUGCAAAUAUUUUACCCAAAUAAAUGCUUGAUGGAACCCUUUGUCCCAAUGUGGCACAAAGCCACCACCACAGCUGAGUGCAGGCUGCAGAACAGAAUGGAAUCCUUAUGGAGAAGGUAAGGUGCAGGUUUCUUACGUGCCAGGUAUUUCUCCCUCGAAUUAAUUGAAAUGUUUACAGGCUUUAUCUGAGAAAUAACCCAGCCACCACAAUCACUGAACCAAAGUCACAAGACUGGGGAGGAAAGGAAAGGAACAGAAACCCUGACAUGGCCAUACCUACAUGGAAAGCUGCAGAAUCUUUUGGGAAAAGCCCCUCAGCAUCUAUGCCUGGAAAAAAAUCACAACUUUAACACUGACUCAGUCAGUGUUCAGUGCUGAGACUUCUUCCAUUAAGGACUGCGCCACACCUCUACCCGUCAUAAUGAAGAUGUAUUUCUUAAUACAUAUACAAAAAAAAAGAGGCAGCAUUCAAGUUAUGGCUUCUAGACUGGCAGAAAGAAGGGUGAGGUGGGCUUCAGUACACCAAGAAAAAAGUUGCUCACACUUUCACAUAACCUGUUUUUCCAUUAUUUCUCCUGAAAUAAAGCACCUCAGAGACACUG